GGAUAUGAGGGCGAUCAGGUUGCCCAGGCAGGUGUGGCCUUCCUCCCUCAUCACUCCGUGUGCAUCCCGCCCAAAGCUGUUUUCUGGGUUAAAGAGGAUGACCUUCCCUGCGAGAGGAGGAGCAUUCUUCUUAGGUCAAGGGUAUAUGAGUAGCUUGGCUGCCCUGCUAGACAGGAAGAGUAAUCUGCAAAUUGGAACAAGGCCAGUUU
rnacentral:snRNA from 1 species